rnacentral:rRNA from 1 species
UGGGGAAUAUUGGACAAUGGGCGCAAGCCUGAUCCAGCCAUGCCGCGUGGAUGAUGAAGGCCCUAGGGUUGUAAAGUCCUUUCGGCGGGGAAGAUAAUGACGGUACCCGCAGAAGAAGCCCCGGCUAACUUCGUGCCAGCAGCCGCGGUAAUACGAAGGGGGCUAGCGUUGCUCGGAAUCACUGGGCGUAAAGCGCACGUAGGCGGCUUUCUAAGUCGGUGGUGAAAUCCUGGAGCUCAACUCCAGAACUGCCUCCGAUACUGGAGAGCUCGAGUCCGGGAGAGGUGAGUGGAACUGCGAGUGUAGAGGUAAAAUUCGUAGAUAUUCGCAAGAACACCAGUGGCGAAGGCGGCUCACUGGCCCGGUACUGACGCUGAGGUGCGAAAGCGUGGGGAGCAAACA